rnacentral:tRNA from 1 species
UNAAAAAGAUAGGAGUUGAACCUACGUCUAA